rnacentral:rRNA from 1 species
AGGAGCUUGCUCCUUUGAAGUUAGCGGCGGACGGGUGAGUAACACGUGGGUAACCUACCUAUAAGACUGGAAUAACUCCGGGAAACCGGGGCUAAUGCCGGAUAACAUGUUGAACCGCAUGGUUCAACAGUGAAAGACGGUCUUGCUGUCACUUAUAGAUGGACCCGCGCCGUAUUAGCUAGUUGGUGGGGUAACGGCCUACCAAGGCGACGAUACGUAGCCGACCUGAGAGGGUGAUCGGCCACACUGGAACUG